rnacentral:rRNA from 1 species
UACCAGCAGCUCGAGUGGUGAUCCUUAUUAUUGGGCCUAAAGCGUCCGUAGCCGGUCUGGUAAAUCCUUGGGUAAAUCGUACCGCUUAACGGUACGACCUCUGGGGAGACUGCCUGACUUGGGACUGGGAGAGGUCGGAGGUACUCCUGGGGUAGGGGUGAAAUCCUGUAAUCCUAGGGGGACCACCAGUGGCGAAGGCGUCCGACUAGAACGGAUCCGACGGUGAGGGACGAAGCCGUGGGGCACAAACCGGAUUAGAUACCCGGGUAGUCCACGGUGUAAACGCUGCGAGCUUGGUGUUGGGGGUCCUACGAGGGCGCCCAGUGCCGGAGAGAAGUUGUUAAGCUCGCCGCCUGGGGAGUACGAUCGCAAGAUUGAAACUUAAAGGAAUUGGCGGGGAGCACCGCAACGGGUGGAGCGUGCGGUUC